CAGACAGAGAGGAGACUGGAGAACAGAGCUAGUCCUUUGUCUGAGACCCAAGGACUUGGAGGAGAUUCAGAGAAGAUCCCUUUGUUCUUGGGGAGCAGAAGCCACUGCAGAAUUUGAAGGCAGUUGAAUGAAUGCUGAUCCCACCAAUGAUUCUCGCACUGUGCCUGUGGCUUGUUUCUUUGAGUUUUACAUCCCAGCAGCAGCCGGCCUCCAACUGCAUUUCCUCAUCAGGUUUUGGUCUCUAAUGUGGCUUCUCUGAGAACACUGGCACAGGGCUCAGCUCUUGCAAACUCUUUCGAUUUGUUUUCCUUUUUGUGCAUCAGCUUUUUUUUUCCCUUUGGGAACAUAUUACAGCCCGAGUGACUGAUCUGCUUCAGAAGACCAGCAGCUCAGCUCCCCAAAGAACAGAAAUCUGCUCCCUAGCAUCCAGUAACUCAUGUCAGUCAACCAAUAGCUAUGACUUUUUUGGAGCAAAUGGCACAUGAAAAACACAGAAUUUAAGGUAGAUGAGAAUGUCCAUAUUUCAUAUUUAGCAUUAUAUCAAACUAUUUAAUGCAGUGGAGCCUGGACUUGGAGCUGGGCUCUAAUUCUGGCUGUGCAGUCGGGGUGACCUUGGACAAGUCACGGUCCCACUCUGUGACUUGGUUUCCCCAUCUGUAAGCUGUGGAGGAUGACAUGGACCUCCUUUGUAAAGCACUUGGUGAUCUAAGGAGGAAAAGCACUGGGUACAAGCCAACUAUUUUUACUACUGAUGGCCGGAUGCUGCCUCCUCACUACUAACGAGUAGUUCCCUACUCCAUGAGUGGUUGCCUUGAAAUCAGUGGGACUUCUUCAGAUAAGAUGCUAUGAAAUGGGUGACAUUCACUCCUCUGUAGCUCAAGGCCUAUAUAUCACUUAUACAGGGGGUAAGAGGCAUAUACGCAGUGCAUAAGCCUUGUGGGAAGGGGUGAAUUUCAUCCCAUGUAAAUAAGGGCUGAACCAUCCACCCUAUAGUCUCUCUCUCCAGUACACAGUAGCUUGCAAACAUGUGCUUUCAUGUCCCUUCAUAUAUACUCCAGAGUUGAUGAUUUGGCCACUUUCCUUCUUUGAAGGAGGCUGCUCUCUUUGGGCUAAUAUAGAUGUGAUGCUACACGUUACAAACUGCCAUGCACUGUGUGAUGCUGGAGAAAUGUCUUCAUAGACAGGGCCUGCCCACAACAUUUUGGCACCUGAGGUGGGGAGCUCAAAUGACGCACCUAUUCCCCCUCGCUUGGGCUAAAACUUUGAAAGGUCUCAAUUCUGCCUUCUUCCUGUUCUACUCCUCUCAUGGUACUGCUCUGCUACCUACCCCAAUAAAGGAGAACUAACAACUUAA